ACGGGGGAGGCAAGCGUUAUCCGGAAUUAUUGGGCGUAAAGCGUCCGCAGGUGGUCAGCCAAGUCUGCCGUCAAAUCAGGUUGCUUAACGACCUAAAGGCGGUGGAAACUGGCAGACUAGAGUUCGGUAGGGGUAGCGGGAAUUCCAGUGUAGCGGUGAAAUGCGUAGAUAUUGGGAAGAACAUCGGUGGCGAAAGCGCGCUACUGGGCCGAAACUGACACUGAGGGACGAAAGCUAGGGUAGCGAAAGGGAUUAGAUACCCCUGUAGUCCUAGCCGUAAACGAUGGGUACUAGGCGUAGUCUGUAUCGACCCGGACUGUGCCGAAGCUAACGCGUUAAGUAUCCCGCCUGGGGAGUACGCUCGCAAGAGUG
rnacentral:rRNA from 1 species